CACUGAUUCUUUUCUGUUUCCUUCUGUGAACACUGUCGUCUGGAAGUAAGCUGCUACUCAGUCAUGCACCUCUGCAAAUCUUGGAAAGAAUCAAGGAUUCCUGAGGCAAGAAAGUUGGAUAAUGAUGAGCACCAGGCAAGACACAGCUGGCCACUGGAGAGAGAGCCCAGUGUAGGCAGAAGGCCAGAAUGUGCCAACAGGCAUAAGCUGAACUGUGGACAUCCUGCCACUGGGAAUUAAAGUAGAAAAAAACACAGAAUGUAAUGGGGCCUCCACUCACAAGAAGAAUUUGGAUCAAAGCAUGGCAGUGAGGGGAAGCAUUGAGCAGGUGAAAGUGAAGCAGAGGCUUUAGUCCUGCAAGAAACAGUCGCCUGACUUUAAAGCGUGCCUGUGUCACUGACAGCAUUUAGCAGUGCACAGUGUGCAGAAACUUGGCUCGUCAGCCCUCCUGAUGCUGACAGAUAGGGCAGCUUCACUGUGGAGCACUACACAAGCUCAUUUGCUGCCUUCAUCAGUCUGUAGGUGCUGACUUUGCUCGUAGAGUCACCACCGCAGCCACAGGGCCUCUUCUCACUUACCCACUUCCUCCCCAUUCACGUUGCUCCUCUCAUCAGAGACACUAAGGCCCACUGGAGCCUGCUUUGCAUCUCUUACAUCAGAGGUUUGGGAUGGCACAUUGCAAAUGAUCUUUGCAAACUCUUCCGUCUGUACUCUUGAAGUCUAAGCAGAGAGGCAACGAAAAAGUGGCCCAGGAGCAAAAUGUCUACGUUUCUAAAAUGAGUCUGAAAUGAAGUUCAUCGGAAAAUGUA
rnacentral:lncRNA from 1 species